rnacentral:lncRNA from 1 species
UAUAUAUGUAGGACUCAAAUCUAUGGCGGGUUCCAAAUCUAUGGCAGAUUCCUAAUCUAUGGCAAAUGUGACGUUACAAACGUCAAACAAGUCAAAUCUAUGGCAGAUUUUUGUUUUCUCCAAAUCUAUGGCAGAUCUGACAUAUAACGUCACAAUUAAGCAACGCCAUAUCACAUCUUUGCCGCCGCAAACAAUGGCAGAACCCAUAGAUUUGAAUACCAUUCCAGACGAAGGAAUUUCCCUCGACAACAAUUUGCGGAUGGUUUACAACAACAUGUGACCUUUUAUCCAGAAGAGGGACAUAAUGUGUGUUCGAUUUUUUCAGUACCGGAAAUUUUAGGAGCUAUUAUAGUAACUUUUUUACUGUCUACGGCUGACAACGUUU